rnacentral:rRNA from 1 species
CCUACGGGGCGCAGCAGUGGGGAAUAUUGCGCAAUGGGCGAAAGCCUGACGCAGCGACGCCGCGUGAGUGAAGCAGUAUUUCGGUAUGUAAAGCUCUAUCAGCAGGGAAGCAACUCACCCUCCGGGGAGGCUGAUGGUACCUGACUAAGAAGCCCCGGCUAACUACGUGCCAGCAGCCGCGGUAAUACGUAGGGGGCAAGCGUUAUCCGGAUUUACUGGGUGUAAAGGGAGCGUAGGUGGCAAGGCAAGUCAGAUGUGAAAACCCGGGGCCCAACCCCGGGAGUGCAUUUGAAACUGUCUGGCUAGAGUGCAGGAGAGGUAAGUGGAAUUCCUAGUGUAGCGGUGAAAUGCAUAGAUAUUAGGAGGAACACCAGUGGCGAAGGCGGCUUACUGGACUGUAACUGACACUGAGGCUCGAAAGCGUGGGGAGCAAACAGGAUUAGAUACCCCGGUAGUC